rnacentral:rRNA from 1 species
GUUCGGACUGUAGGCUGCAACUCGCCUACACGAAGUUGGAAUUGCUAGUAAUCGUGGAUCAGCAUGCCACGGUGAAUACGUUCCCGGGUCUUGUACACACCGCCCGUCACACCAUGGGAGCUGGUAACACCCGAAGUCAGUAGUCUAACCGCAAGGAGGACGCUGCCGAAGGUGGGAUUAGCGACUGGGGUGAAGUCGUAACAAGGUAUC